CACUAUUUGAGCUCUCGUGUUCUCCUGCCAUAAUGCCAUCCACACAACAAAGAGGGUCCUCUACCAGGGCCACAUCAAGGCGAUUGCCUGAUAUUGAAGUUUUAGCCUCCCACACUGUGAGCUAAAUAAUCCUCUUUUCUUAAAAAAAAAAGUACCCAUUCUCUGAUGUUUGGUUAUGACAAAAAAAGAAAGAUUAACACAUCUGGUUGUGAUAACACACUAUAGUUUGGGGAUGUAUCACUAUGUGGGAAACUAUAAGAGACUAAUGGCAUCUCUCUGUGUUAUUUCUUACAGCUGCAUGUGAGCCUUCAAUUAUCUCAAAAAGAUUACUUAAAAAAUUUAAAUGAUGAAGGCAAAUGAGGGAACUGCGUGUAGUGCUUGUCAGUUACGUCAUCAUCUCUGUAUGUAUGAUGUCACAAUGGUGAGUGGCCUUAAGUACUGGAGAAUUCUCACAACUGAGGAGUUAGUGGACAGUGCUCUGCCAAGUGCUAUAGACAGGACCGGUUUCAAGUGCCAAGAAAUGAAGGAAAAAGGAUGCCCAUGUUCGUCACCGAACUCUUCAUUCAAGGCUUUACUACAUGAGAUCCUUACGUGCAUCCAUUGGAAGACCAAUGGGAAGAACCAGCUUGCGCAAGUAGAAUGGUGCUGUUUGAACUCCUCGUCCACGCAGAUAUCGAUGAGGUCCACUCCUUCUGACAUGGCUCAGGAAGGACGAUCUCGCACCCGGAGAAGGGACAAAGUAAGAGACGCACCACGAGAAUAUGGCGGUGGCGCCGAGUCCGGACUAGGCCCGCAAGUCCACCAAUAUUAAUGAGGAGCUGUGAAAAUGAAAGAUGGAGGAGAAAGAUUUGGAAUAUAUGUUGGUUACAAAACCCACUUGGUACACUUUCCUCUCAACUUUGAGUGCAAAUACAACUAGUACUCAGCUUAAAAAAU
rnacentral:lncRNA from 1 species